GAACAGUCCCCGAUAGAAAUGAGUAUCGGAAAUGGUGCGUGUUCCGUUCGAUACUGCAACGGCUGUGGGGAAAAAUAUACCCCAUGCGCCGAAAGGCAGAGCCGGAACCAUUUCAAAUAUCGGGUUUAUCAUUGA
ncrna:unclassified sequences RAGATH-4 RNA